rnacentral:rRNA from 1 species
AUUGAACGCUGGCGGCAUGCUUUACACAUGCAAGUCGAACGGUAACAGGUUAAGCUGACGAGUGGCGAACGGGUGAGUAAUGCAUCGGAACGUGCCCGGUCGUGGGGGAUAACGCAGCGAAAGCUGCGCUAAUACCGCAUACGAUCUGAGGAUGAAAGCGGGGGACCGUAAGGCCUCGCGCGAUCGGAGCGGCCGAUGUCAGAUUAGGUAGUUGGUGGGGUAAAGGCUCACCAAGCCGACGAUCUGUAGCUGGUCUGAGAGGACGACCAGCCACACUGGGACUGAGACACGGCCCAGACUCCUACGGGAGGCAGCAGUGGGGAAUUUUGGACAAUGGGCGCAAGCCUGAUCCAGCAAUGCCGCGUGCAGGAAGAAGGCCUUCGGGUUGUAAACUGCUUUUGUACGGAGCGAAAAGGCUCUCUCUAAUACAGGGGGCUCAUGACGGUACCGUAAGAAUAAGCACCGGCUAACUACGUGCCAGCCGCCGCCGUAA